CCUGACAGACUAUGUAAUGUAGAUUUCUCUUCGGAGCAGGGAUGACAGGUGGUGCAUGGUUGUCGUCAGCUCGUGUCGUGAGAUGUUGGGUUAAGUCCCGCAACGAGCGCAACCCCUGUCCUUAGUAGCCAGCAGUUCGGCUGGGCACUCUAGGGAGACUGCCGGGGAAUAACCCGGAGGAAGGUGGGGAUGACGUCAAAUCAUCAUGCCCCUUAUGAUUUGGGCUACACACGUGCUACAAUGGCGUAAACAAAGAGAAGCAGACUCGUGAGGGCGAGCAAAUCUCAAAAAUAACGUCUCAGUUCGGAUUGUAGUCUGCAACUCGACUACAUGAAGCUGGAAUCGCUAUUAAUCGCGAAUCAAAUGUCGCGGUGAA
rnacentral:rRNA from 1 species